rnacentral:tRNA from 1 species
GCGAAGGUGGCGGAAUUGGUAGACGCACCAGAUUUAGGUUCUGGCGCCGUAAGGCGUGGGGGUUCGAGUCCCCCCUUUCGCACCA